rnacentral:rRNA from 1 species
UCGAGAAUUUUUCUCAAUGGGGGCAACCCUGAAGGAGCGACGCCGCGUGGAGGAUGAAGGCUUUCGGGUUGUAAACUCCUGUCAUUUGGGAACAAGUUGCACACGUUAACUGCGUGGGCAUUGAUAGUACCAGAAGAGGAAGGGACGGCUAACUCUGUGCCAGCAGCCGCGGUAAUACAGAGGUCUCAAGCGUUGUUCGGAUUCAUUGGGCGUAAAGGGUGCGUAGGUGGCGCCGUAAGUCGGGUGUGAAAUUUCGGAGCUUAACUCCGAAACUGCAUUCGAUACUGCGGUGCUUGAGGACUGGAGAGGAGACUGGAAUUCAUGGUGUAGCAGUGAAAUGCGUAGAGAUCAUGAGGAAGACCAGUGGCGAAGGCGGGUCUCUGGACAGUUCCUGACACUGAGGCACGAAGGCCAGGGGAGCAAACG